GACGAACGCUGGCGGCGUGCUUAACACAUGCAAGUCGAACGGAAAGGCCCCAGCUUGCUGGCGUACUCGAGUGGCGAACGGGUGAGUAACACGUGGGUAAUCUGCCCUGCACUUUGGGAUAAGCCUGAGAAACUGGGUCUAAUACUGGAUAUGACCUUUCUCCUUAUGGGGUUUGGUGGAAAGUUUUUCGGUGUAGGAUGAGCCCGCGGCCUAUCAGCUUGUUGGUGGGGUGAUGGCCUACCAAGGCGACGACGGGUAGCCGGCCUGAGAGGGUGAUCGGCCACAUUGGGACUGAGAUACGGCCCAGACUCCUACGGGAGGCAGCAGUGGGGAAUAUUGCACAAUGGGCGGAAGCCUGAUGCAGCGACGCCGCGUGAGGGAUGACGGCCUUCGGGUUGUAAACCUCUUUCAGCAGGGACGAAGCGUAAGUGACGGUACCUGCAGAAGAAGCACCGGCUAACUAUGUG
rnacentral:rRNA from 1 species